UCCCAGACUCCUACGGGAGGCAGCAGUGGGGAAUAUUGCACAAUGGGGGAAACCCUGAUGCAGCGACGCCGCGUGAGUGAAGAAGUAUUUCGGUAUGUAAAGCUCUAUCAGCAGGGAAGAAGAAGGACGGUACCUGAGUAAGAAGCCCCGGCUAACUACGUGCCAGCAGCCGCGGUAAUACGUAGGGAGCAAGCGUUAUCCGGAUUUAUUGGGUGUAAAGGAUGCGUAGACGGGAAAUUAAGUUAGUUGUGAAAUCCCUCGGCUCAACUGAGGAACUGCAACUAAAACUGGUUUUCUUGAGUGUUGGAGAGGAAGGCGGAAUUCCUAGUGUAGCGGUGAAAUGCGUAGAUAUUAGGAGGAACACCAGUGGCGAAGGCGGCUUUCUGGACAAUAACUGACGUUGAGGCACGAAAGUGUGGGGAGCAAACAGGAUUAGAUACCCGAGUA
rnacentral:rRNA from 1 species